rnacentral:rRNA from 1 species
CGUUGUUCGGAAUUACUGGGCGUAAAGGGUUCGUAGGUGGCUGGCUAAGUCAGACGUGAAAUCCCUCAGCUUAACUGGGGAACUGCGUCUGAGACUGGUCAGCUUGAGUGCAGGAGAGGAACGCGGAAUUCCAGGUGUAGCGGUGAAAUGCGUAGAUAUCUGGAGGAACACCGGUGGCGAAGGCGGCGUUCUGGACUGUAACUGACACUGAGGAACGAAAGCCAGGGGAGCAAACGGG